ensembl:lncRNA
AACCAAUGAGGGUCCCAACCUGAAUGAAGGUCCCAACCCCAAUAGAGGUGCCCAACUCCAGAGAGGGUCCCAACCCCAGUAGAGGUGCCCAACACCAAAGAAGGUCCCAACCUCAAUGAAGGUCCCAACCUCAAUGAAGGUCCCAACCCUAAUGAAGGUCCCAACCCCAAUAGAGGUGCCCAACCCCAAUGAGGGUCCCAACCCCAAUGAAGGUCCCAACCCCAAUAGAGGUCCCAACCCCAAUAGAGGUGCCCAACCCCAGAGAGGGUCCCAACCCCAAUAGAGGUGCCCAACCCCAGAGGGGGUCCCAACCCCAAUAGAGGUGCCCAAUCCCAAUAGAGGUGCCCAACCCCAAUGAGGGUCCCAACCUCAAUAAGGGUCCCUACUCCAAUAGAUGUUCCCAACCCCAACAGAGGUGCCUGACCCCAAUGAGGGUCCCAACCCCAAUAGAGGUGCCCAACCCCAAAAGAUGUUCCAAACCCCAACAGAGGUGCCCAACCCGUAUGAGGAUCCUAACCCUGAUGGAGAUGCCCAACACCAAUGAGGAUCCCAACCCCGAUGGAGGUGCCCAAACCCAACGAAAGUACCAACCCCAAUGAGGGUCCCGACCCAGUAGAGCUUCCUGACCCCAACAUGGGUGCCCGACCCCAAUGAAGGAAUGGUUCCCCGGCCACCCCCGCGCACCCGGAGCUGUAGGAUGAGGGCUGUCCCAGCCCCACAGCUGCACUGCGGCCCCGCUGGGAUGAGCCCGACCCCAAAGUGUGGGGCUGGGGGAACGCCGUGGGGCUGAUGGCUUUCAGCUGUGGGACAUGGAGUUCCAAUGGGAGGCACUGGAGGUGAAUGGGGUGCUGGGAUUCUGGGCUGUUCUGGCUUCCCAUGAAUGCUGCGUUGUCCAGCUGUCCCUCCAUCCACCCACACAUCCAUUCAUCUCUCCAUG